rnacentral:lncRNA from 1 species
UAACUGGUUGUUUCCUGUCUCCCUCGCUGCAGAAUUGCACUGUUCCCUGGUCUUCACCCACCUCAGUCCAACAGAAUCGCAUUUGGCAACUCCCAAGCAAAAAGUCCAAACUCCUCUUGGAAGGGAAGUAAAAAGAAAAGGGACAAGAAGUAACAGUAAAAAAAUACAGUAAAAGCACUCUUCAAAGUCCUGUGUCUUCUGGCCUUUGAAAAUGACUUUCUUUCCUGGUGAUCUGUUACUUAGUUUAACCUUCCAAGGACAGGCUGCCUUGGUGAUGUGCCAGUGGCAGACACUUCCUUACUGAGACCGUCAAGAAGUGCAUCAUUCUGCAGGUGCAAUAGCUAUAUCUUGGCCAUGGAUCAGAAACACAGAUAGUGCACCAUGAGGUAGCGGACAGAAGAACUUUAUCCCAUACAGGAGACGAGUAGCAGUUUGUGGAUUAGCAGCUUAAUUUAAAUAAUUGUGGUCAGCCUGAACAUAGUUGCCCCGUUAAUAAAGGGAAAAAAACAUAGCUGAAAAAAAU